rnacentral:rRNA from 1 species
AUUGAACGCUGGCGGAAUGCUUUACACAUGCAAGUCGAACGGUAGAGGGGGCAACCCCUCGAGAGUGGCGAACGGGUGAGUAAUAUAUCGGAACGUGCCCAGUCGUGGGGGAUAACGUAGCGAAAGUUACGCUAAUACCGCAUACGAUCUAAGGAUGAAAGCGGGGGAUCGCAAGACCUCGCGCGAUUGGAGCGGCCGAUAUCAGAUUAGGUAGUUGGUGGGGUAAAGGCCCACCAAGCCAACGAUCUGUAGCUGGUCUGAGAGGACGACCAGCCACACUGGAACUGAGACACGGUCCAGACUGCUACGGGAGGCAGCAGUGGGGAAUUUUGGACAAUGGACGCAAGUCUGAUCCAGCCAUUCCGCGUGCAGGAUGAAGGCCCUCGGGUUGUAAACUGCUUUUGUACGGAACGAAAAGGUCUCUCUUAAUACGGGGGACUCAUGACGGUACCGUAAGAAUAAGCACCGGCUAACUACGUGCCAGCCGCCGCUGUAA